rnacentral:tRNA from 1 species
UAGGAAAUAGUAUAAUUGGAAGUACUAAGAGUUUUGAUCUCUUAGGUACGGGUUCGAAUCCUGUUUUUCUAA